rnacentral:rRNA from 1 species
GAUGAACGCUGGCGGCGUGCCUAAUACAUGCAAGUCGAGCGAGCAGACGAGGAGCUUGCUCCUCUGACGUUAGCGGCGGACGGGUGAGUAACACGUGGAUAACCUACCUAUAAGACUGGGAUAACUUCGGGAAACCGGAGCUAAUACCGGAUAAUAUAUUGAACCGCAUGGUUCAAUAGUGAAAGACGGUUUUGCUGUCACUUAUAGAUGGAUCCGCGCCGCAUUAGCUAGUUGGUAAGGUAACGGCUUACCAAGGCGACGAUGCGUAGCCGACCUGAGAGGGUGAUCGGCCACACUGGAACUGAGACACGGUCCAGACUCCUACGGGAGGCAGCAGUAGGGAAUCUUCCGCAAUGGGCGAAAGCCUGACGGAGCAACGCCGCGUGAGUGAUGAAGGUCUUCGGAUCGUAAAACUCUGUUAUUAGGGAAGAACAAAUGUGUAAGUAACUAUGCACGUCUUGACGGUACCUAAUCAGAAAGCCACGGCUAACUACGU